rnacentral:rRNA from 1 species
GACGUAGGGCGCGAGCGUUGUCCGGAUUUAUUGGGCGUAAAGAGCUCGUAGGCGGCUUGUCGCGUCGACUGUGAAAACCCGUGGCUCAACCAUGUGGUCUGCAGUCGAUACGGGCAGGCUAGAAUUCGGUAGGGGAGACUGGAAUUCCUGGUGUAGCGGUGAAAUGCGCAGAUAUCAGGAGGAACACCGAUGGCGAAGGCAGCUUACUGGGCCGAAACUGACGCUGAGGAGCGAAAGCGUGGGGAGCGAACAGG